UUUUUUUUUCUAUUUCGUCCUCCUCUGUCAUUACCUGGCCGAUCUAUAUCCAGAGAGGGUGCACAAGCUUUACAGUCAGCUCAGGCGUGUUGAAAAAAAAGCAACCCGUGUAACCACUGAAAUCUAAAGUUUUAUUUAAGUUAAGUAUUUAAGCAAACAGUCUGGAUUUCAAUAUUCUUGUUCAAAGCUAUUGAUUUCUGUUGUUUUCUUUCCAGUGUUCUAACUUGACAGUUUUUUUUAAUGUAUGUUUGUCUGUAUAAAUUAAAAACAAUGAAUAAAAGAAAGAACAUAAUUCCAUUUUGCAAAUAAAACACAUGCAUAGAAAAACAUAUAUAUAAAUAGACAUCCACACAGUGAGGGGAAAAUAAUUCAUCUGCUGAUUUUGUAUGUUUUUGCACUGACAAAAUAUCUUAGUCAUUUUAAUGGGGUUUUCUUUUCUAUUUACAGUGAAGAAAUGGUAUAAGGUUUAAAAUAAAAUCCAGGGAUAUGCAUUUCAAAAACAUAAUAAAGUGAUAUGCUUUUUAAGGAAUGACUAUUUGAUCCUCAUGUCACAGCUGAGAGGGAGCGCUCCGAUUCGAGGCACCACUUACUUGAAUAAGUGGUGCCUGUCUGCAGAAGCGUUCAGUCAGAUCCCAAACUCUACGGCAACACCAAGGAGGUGUCCACUGAUGUCGCAGACAAGAUUGAAGACCUUCACAAGGGCUGGAAAGACAAGAUCAGCACUGAGCAACUCGGCUCCAUGCAAGAGUAGAGUUCCCAUGCUCAUGGCUACAGUGAGGACGCUGGCGCCACAGUCACCAAGAAAUGCUGGUACCAGAGUGAAGAACUGGAUUCCUCCAGUCCUUGCAAAGUAACCAUGCGAAAGGCGACAGGCUGAUCUGACCUAACUUUUGGAUUCGGAGAUCUUUCAGAGAAGAACUGAGAAAAACUUGACCUGUAUCAUAUGAUGCCAAGAAAACCAUCAAAUAGGAAGAAGGAAACGAGCUUUAGGAGUGUGUUUUUUUUUUCUUUCAAAGGGGACACAGCAACUUUACAUCAAAGGGACUUGCUUAAGUCAGAACUUCCUUCCUUUCAGGCAUUGGUACGAAUGGAUACUCCAAAAGGACGAUGACCCUAAUCACAACCAUGGCGUCUAAGGAGUGACUAAAGAUGAUCAUCUACAGACCCUGGAAAUGCCCCAAAACUUUCAUGAUGGGAUCUGCAAAGAUCAGUGGGUGAAAUCCCCCUCUGGAGGAGUGCAAACCUAUCACUUAAAAUCAUAGACUCGUCAUUUCUUUGUCAUUGGGUAAAUAUACAAAAUCAGCACGGAAUCAUUUUUCCCUAAUUGUGUAACUAUACAACUCCGAGUUUUGCAUGAAGAGAAGGAAGCGGAAAAGUGUUUAGCUUUUCGGGAGAUGCAGUGAAACUGUUCAAAAAUACCUUUUGUAAAUGCAGCGAAAGGGACAAACGAGGACAGAACUUCAUGUGUGAAACAGAAACCAAUUCUGACUACAUCUACCAUCAUGCACCACGGUGAGUCAUACUGCUGUUUGUCAUUAAUUAAUCACUGCUCCUGUCAGAAACUGCCAAACACACCCGGACCAUGAUGUCUCUUGUAACAAACGCUCAUUCAGCUGAUGAUGACACCAACGAUGAUAGCGGUGACACUUUUUUGCAAUAUACUCUCAUCUGCCUCGAUGUACUGUAUUUAGCAGCAUGCAGUUUGUGGAACAAAGAAAAAGAGAAAUGCCAACAGAUACGUUUUUGGCAAACUUAGCCAUUUAUGGGUAAGUGAAUUAACUGUUCAUUUUGUUUUUAUGACAUUUUUUUAUCUAUACAAUAACUGUAAAUAAAGAACUCGAUGUCUUUGUUCAUUUAAUACUAUGCAAAAAGUCAUGCUUUUCUGAUUGUUACCCACCCUUAAUUCUAGAGUGUUUUGCUGGAAUGUUUGUGGUCUCAAAUGUUAGUACAGAAAUGUGAUGUAAAUUAUUUUUUAGCCUGAAGAAAAAGUAAAAUUAUGCUGAGAACUACUAUUAUGAUACAGUAUCAUUAGGGGGAUGAUUUAAUGGUGGUGACGAUGAUAAUGAACUGUGACUCUUGCUGCUUGACUGUCCUACUUACCAAACUCCUGACAGGAGCACAAGUGGAAAACAUUGAGAAAAAAACAACAAAAGAGAAAAAAAAAAGAACUUAAAUAAAUCUUCCGGAGCAGCAUGACCCAGCAUGGUGUGUCCUGGCCCAGUGUGACAUGUUCUUCUCUGAUUCUGUUUUUGUGCUUUUACUUUGAAGUGUCCACUUUGAAUGUCCUGCUGAUCGAUCUUUUUAUUGGUAUACUUUAACAAUUAACACAAGUUUUUACUGUUUAACUGUAUCCAAAGCAAUAUAAAUAAUGAUCUUACCAA